rnacentral:rRNA from 1 species
AUUGAACGCUGGCGGCAGGCCUAACACAUGCAAGUCGAGCGGGGUUUUCGGACCUAGCGGCGGACGGGUGAGUAAUGCGUAGGAAGCUACCCGAUAGAGGGGGAUACCAGUUGGAAACGACUGUUAAUACCGCAUAAUGUCUACGGACCAAAGUGUGGGACCUUCGGGCCACAUGCUAUCGGAUGCGCCUACGUGGGAUUAGCUAGUUGGUGAGGUAAUGGCUCACCAAGGCGACGAUCCCUAGCUGGUUUGAGAGGAUGAUCAGCCACACUGGAACUGAGACACGGUCCAGACUCCGACGGGAGGCAGCAGUGGGGAAUAUUGGACAAUGGGCGCAAGCCUGAUCCAGCCAUGCCGCGUGUGUGAAGAAGGCCUUCGGGUUGUAAAGCACUUUCAGCGAGGAGGAAGGGGUGAGUGUUAAUAGUACUCAUCUUUGACGUUACUCGCAGAAGAAGCACCGGCUAACUCUGUGCCAGCCGCCGCGGUAAGAC